rnacentral:rRNA from 1 species
ACGCGGGGGUGUGCUAUAAUGCAGUCGAACGCGUUGGCCCAAUUGAUUGAUGGUGCUUGCACCUGAUUGAUUUUGGUCGCCAACGAGUGGCGGACGGGUGAGUAACACGUAGGUAACCUGCCCAGAAGCGGGGGACAACAUUUGGAAACAGAUGCUAAUACCGCAUAACAACGUUGUUCGCAUGAACAACGCUUAAAAGAUGGCUUCUCGCUAUCACUUCUGGAUGGACCUGCGGUGCAUUAGCUUGUUGGUGGGGUAAUGGCCUACCAAGGCGAUGAUGCAUAGCCGAGUUGAGAGACUGAUCGGCCACAAUGGGACUGAGACACGGCCCAUACUCCUACGGGAGGCAGCAGUAGGGAAUCUUCCACAAUGGGCGCAAGCCUGAUGGAGCAACACCGCGUGAGUGAAGAAGGGUUUCGGCUCGUAAAGCUCUGUUGUUAAAGAAGAACACGUAUGAGAGUAACUGUUCAUACGUUGACGGUAUUUAACCAGAAAGUCACGGCUAACUACGUGCCAGCAGCCGCGGUAAUACGUAGGUGGCAAGCGUUAUCCGGAUUUAUUGGGCGUAAAGAGAGUGCAGGCGGUUUUCUAAGUCUGAUGUGAAAGCCUUCGGCUUAACCGGAGAAGUGCAUCGGAAACUGGAUAACUUGAGUGCAGAAGAGGGUAGUGGAACUCCAUGUGUAGCGGUGGAAUGCGUAGAUAUAUGGAAGAACACCAGUGGCGAAGGCGGCUACCUGGUCUGCAACUGACGCUGAGACUCGAAAGCAUGGGUAGCGAACAGGAUUAGAUACCCUGGUAGUCCAUGCCGUAAACGAUGAGUGCUAGGUGUUGGAGGGUUUCCGCCCUUCAGUGCCGGAGCUAACGCAUUAAGCACUCCGCCUGGGGAGUACGACCGCAAGGUUGAAACUCAAAGGAAUUGACGGGGGCCCGCACAAGCGGUGGAGCAUGUGGUUUAAUUCGAAGCUACGCGAAGAACCUUACCAGGUCUUGACAUCUUGCGCCAACCCUAGAGAUAGGGCGUUUCCUUCGGGAACGCAAUGACAGGUGGUGCAUGGUCGUCGUCAGCUCGUGUCGUGAGAAUGUUGGGUUAGUCCCGCAACGAGCGCAACC